rnacentral:rRNA from 1 species
AAUGAACGCUGGCGGCGUGCUUAACACAUGCAAGUCGAGCGCGAAAGUGACUUCGGCCACGAGUAGAGCGGCGAACGGGUGAGUAACACGUGGGUAACCUGCCUGGGAGCGGGGGAUAACCUGGGGAAACUCGGGCUAAUACCGCGUACGUUCGUAGGGUGCAAGCCCUGCGAGGAAAGGUGGCCUCUGCUUGCAAGCUACCACUCCCAGAGGGGCCCGCGCCUGAUUAGCUAGUUGGUGGGGUAAUGGCCUACCAAGGCGACGAUCAGUAGCCGGCCUGAGAGGGCGAUCGGCCACACUGGAACUGAGACACGGUCCAGACUCCUACGGGAGGCAGCAGUGGGGAAUAUUGGACAAUGGGCGCAAGCCUGAUCCAGCCAUGCCGCGUGGGUGAAGAAGGCCCUAGGGUUGUAAAUCCCUUUCAGCGGGGACGAUAAUGACGGUACCCGCAGAAGAAGCCCCGGCUAACUCCGUG